rnacentral:rRNA from 1 species
GCGCACCAGUCGAGAAACCUUCGCAAUGCGGGAAACCGCGACGAGGGGACUCCCAGUGCCUACGCUCAGCGUAGGCUGUUCCCGAGCCUAGAAAGCUCGGGGAGUAAGGGCUGGGUAAGACGGGUGCCAGCCGCCGCGGUAAUACCCGCAGCCCGAGUGGUGGCCACUAUUAUUGGGCCUAAAGCGUCCGUAGCCGGCCCGGUAAAUGCCUGGGUAAAUCGUGAGGCCUAACCUCACGAAUUCCGAGUAGACUGCCGGGCUAGGGACCGGAGGAGGGAGAGGGUACUCCAGGGGUAGGGGUGAAAUCCUGUAAUCCCUGGAGGACCACCGGUGGCGAAGGCGCUCUCCUAGGACGGGUCCGACGGUGAGGGACGAAAGCCAGGGGAGCGAACCGGAUUAGAUACCCGCGUAGU